rnacentral:rRNA from 1 species
AUUGAACGCUGGCGGCAUGCCUUACACAUGCAAGUCGAACGGCAGCACGGGGCAACCCGGUGGCGAGUGGCGAACGGGUGAGUAAUGCAUCGGAACGUGCCAUUGAGUGGGGGAUAACGUAGCGAAAGUUGCGCUAAUACCGCAUAUUCUGUGAGCAGGAAAGCAGGGGACCGCAAGGCCUUGCGCUCUUUGAGCGGCCGAUGUCAGAUUAGCUAGUUGGUGAGGUAAAGGCUUACCAAGGCGACGAUCUGUAGCGGGUCUGAGAGGAUGAUCCGCCACACUGGAACUGAGACACGGUCCAGACUCCUACGGGAGGCAGCAGUGGGGAAUUUUGGACAAUGGGCGCAAGCCUGAUCCAGCCAUGCCGCGUGAGUGAAGAAGGCCUCGGUUGUAAGCUCUUCGCCGGAGAAAUCGCAUGGGUUAAUACCCUGUGUGGAUGACGGUACCGGAAUAAGAAGACACCGGCUAACUACGUGCCAGCAGCC